CAAAACCCUAUUGUUACAUUAAGUUAAGAUUAAUUCAACCAUUGAACGGCAGUGAUAUCUUACAAUCUCUGUGGAUACGAUAACAAAAACCCGACACGAAAUAUACAUUUCAACAGCCAUUCACUCUUGAGACAUCUGCAUACAUUGGUCAUUUGAUCAAUUGCAUUCAUUUUACUUGGUAAGUUUUGAAGGUCAUAUAAGUCAUUUGUUUCACUUAAACCAUGUCAUUAUUCCUUCAAAA
rnacentral:lncRNA from 1 species